UACGUAGGGUGCAAGCGUUGUCCGGAAUUAUUGGGCGUAAAGAGCUCGUAGGCGGUCUGUCGCGUCGAAUGUGAAAACCUGGGGCUCAACUCCGGGCCUGCAGCCGAUACGGGCAAGCUAGAGUUCGGUAGGGGAGACUGGAAUUCCUGGUGUAGCGGUGAAAUGCGCAGAUAUCAGGAGGAACACCGGUGGCGAAGGCAGCUCGCUGGGACGGUACUGACGCUGAGGCGCGAAAGCGUGGGGAGCAAACAGG
rnacentral:rRNA from 1 species